rnacentral:rRNA from 1 species
UGCACCUGGUGGCGAGUGGCGAACGGGUGAGUAAUACAUCGGAACAUGUCCUGUAGUGGGGGAUAGCCCGGCGAAAGCCGGAUUAAUACCGCAUACGAUCUACGGAUGAAAGCGGGGGACCUUCGGGCCUCGCGCUAUAGGGUUGGCCGAUGGCUGAUUAGCUAGUUGGUGGGGUAAAGGCCCACCAAGGCGACGAUCAGUAGCUGGUCUGAGAGGACGACCAGCCACACUGGGACUGAGACACGGCCCAGACUCCUACGGGAGGCAGCAGUGGGGAAUUUUGGACAAUGGGCGAAAGCCUGAUCCAGCAAUGCCGCGUGUGUGAAGAAGGCCUUCGGGUUGUAAAGCACUUUUGUCCGGAAAGAAAUCCUGAGGGCUAAUAUCCUUCGGGGAUGACGGUACCGGAAGAAUAAGCACCGGCUAACUACGUGCCAGCAGCCGCGGUAAUACGUAGGGUGCGAGCGUUAAUCGGAAUUACUGGGCGUAAAGCGUGCGCAGGCGGUUUGUUAAGACCGAUGUGAAAUCCCCGGGCUCAACCUGGGAACUGCAUUGGUGACUGGCAAGCUAGAGUAUGGCAGAGGGGGGUAGAAUUCCACGUGUAGCAGUGAAAUGCGUAGAGAUGUGGAGGAAUACCGAUGGCGAAGGCAGCCCCCUGGGCCAAUACUGACGCUCAUGCACGAAAGCGUGGGGAGCAAACAGGAUUAGAUACCCUGGUAGUCCACGCCCUAAACGAUGUCAACUAGUUGUUGGGGAUUCAUUUCCUUAGUAACGUAGCUAACGCGUGAAGUUGACCGCCUGGGGGAGUACGGUCGCAAGAUUAAAACUCAAAGGAAUUGAGGGGGACCCGCACAAGCGGUGGAUGAUGUGGAUUAAUUCGAUGCAACGCGAAAAACCUUACCUACCCUUGACAUGGUCGGAACCUUGGAGAGAUCUGAGGGUCCGCGAAAGAGAACCGAUACUCAGGUGCUGCAUGGCAGUCGUCAGCUCGUGUCGUGAGAUGGUGGGUUAAGUCCCGCAACGAGCGCAACCCUUGCCCUUAGUUGAGACGCAAGAGCACUCUAGGGAGACUGCCGGUGACAAACCGGAGGAAGGUGGGGAUGAAGUCAAGUCCUCAUGGCCCUUAUGGGUAGGGCUUCACACGUCAUUCAAUGGUCGGAACAGAGGG